AACGUAGGUGGCGAGCGUUAUCCGGAUUUACUGGGCGUAAAGCGUGUGCAGGCGGGGUGACAAGUGGUGUAUGAAAUCUCCGGGCUAAACCUGGAGGGGUUAUGCCAGACUGUCAUUCUAGAGUGCGAGAGAGGGGCGUGGAAUUCUCGGUGUAGAGGUGAAAUUCGUAGAUAUCGAGAGGAACACCGGCGGCGAAGGCGGCCAACUGGACGAACACUGACGCUGAGACACGAAAGCGUGGGGAGCAAACAGG
rnacentral:rRNA from 1 species